rnacentral:pre_miRNA from 1 species
UCACCGCCGCAGGCUGCUACCCCCAGGCUGGGCUGGGCGAGUAUCUCUUCGAAAGGCUCACCCUCAAGCACGACUAGGAGC